UACGUAGGGGGCAAGCGUUGUCCGGAAUCAUUGGGCGUAAAGCGCGUGUAGGCGGCCAGAAAAGUCCGCUGAUGAAAACUCGAGGCUCAACUUCGAGCUGUCGGUGGAAACUUUCUGGCUAGAAUCCGGAAGAGGAGAAUGGAAUUCCUGGGUGUAGCGGUGAAAUGACGCAGAUAUCAGGAAGAACACCCGUGGCGAAGGCGGUUCUCUGGGACGGUACUGACGCUGAGACGACGAAAGCGUGGGGAGCGAACAGG
rnacentral:rRNA from 1 species